CUAGGUCAGUCUCCCCGGCGCGCGCACAGACAUAUAUAGUCAAAUCGGAGCAGCGAGCCAUAAGAUCCGUUAUGACGUGACGUUCAGAGUUCUAUAAGUUUCCUGAUGGUAUGCUUGACGGUUGUUCCGUUUAUGACGCCGCAAAUGUCGAGGUUUUUAAACGUUGUGGUAUCUGAGCUGGCCUCUGUAUUCAUUGAACGGAGUAGUGUUUAAUCAUUGGUCUAUCUAACCUUUUCAUGUGGUUAGUUUCUUUGUUUGUUCAUCUAUGUUUAAGAAUGGACACUGAAAUAAUAUAUCCAGAUAUCUGUACAGCUGCUGUGUGACAAUGUAAACUUAAAAAACCCCAACAUUUCCAUGUCUAGAGAAGAGGGUGCGUUCUUUAAAAAUUAAAUCAUAAUGAUGAUGCUGUGAAACAGUUCAGAAGCUCCGUGUAUUGUCCUUGAUACGUGAAAACUAGACAAUGCACAGUAAUAACACUGAUGAGCCGCGUCAGUGUAAAAUAGCCCAAACCUACCUUCUGUUUCAGGCGGCGUUGUGCUGGAUGGAGCUUGACUGCCCUCGUGUGUCCAAACUCAGGAACGGCAGUUUCCCUGAAGGGGUAUUCUGUUCCAAGUUUGUGGUAGUUAGCCAAGAAAUAUUACAUGAUUACUAUUACUCUCUCUCCCCUUUUUAAAACCUGUUCACGAUAAUUAUUGUAUACAUUACCUUUAUUUUUGUAAUCUUCUCCCCUAUUUGUGGAUAUUCUUGAGUGAAAUAGAUGAGGCCACGUAGGGAACACAUGAAGUUACCUAGGAGCAGAGUCUAAAAUAUCUUUUUGAGGGACCUCAAACUAUUAUCAUUUGCUAUACUAUUGAUCAUUACGUUAAGUACAUCUUAUUCGUAUAUGGAAAGUACUUAAUGAAGAUAAUAUACUUUAUAUUUUUUUAUGUAACCAUUCAAGUAUUUGUUGAAAUGCUUUUGUUACUGAUAAAUACAUGUACAUUUAAAUUGAUUUUGUUCUGUCUGUGAUUUUGUAGAUCUGGAUGUUCAGCUGGUCUCAGAUCAAGCAUCCUCCUCUGUACUGACUCCACUAUCCCCAGCUUCAUCCCAUUCAUCAGAUUCCACAAUUGUCCUGGAGUCCACAAGAAAGAAGAGGAACCCAACAGGGUUAAUGGAGCAGAAUGAAGCAAGACAGAAAGUUGAUUGUGUUCUGAGGGUCAAUCCAAAGGGUGAGGAAAUCUCCAAGGAGUAUGAAAAGACCAAAACACUAGCAGAUGUCACACAUAAACAGAUGGUGAACGCCCUGGUUGCAGACAUGUUAGAGCUACAUGGGAGGAUUCCAUCCUCAAGUGUGAGGACCAGUUAUGCACUGGGAAUUGUGACACUUUUUCCAUACCUCCAAGAUCCUUUCUCCAAACAUGGAUAUGAACACUACUAUGAUCCUUUAGGGUAAUACUGGCUUCAUUGCAUGGAGGAUCAAGACAGUUCAACAUAACACCUGUGCUGGCUCCCGGUGUCAUUCCAAGACUGUUCUUCAGGAUGGUCCAAAAACCAGACGAGAAUCUCUGUUAUUCUGUCAACAGCGAUUUGGUGAGGAGUGCAGGGAGGCGAUAUCUACAAUACGAUAUUCCACUGAUGAAUCUGUGGUCAAAGAGAAGAUGAGAGCGACUUUCCAGUAUCUGCAGAAGAUGGUCGGUGAGGAUGCAUCAUCUUCAGUCCUGGAUUUGUUCACUCGUUUCCUUGCUGUAUCUGGAUUGAUCGACCACGAUUUCUCCAUGAUGUUUGGUGACGAAGUGUCCAAGAAGUUCCUGGCAAAGUGGACAAUAUUCUUCAAGCCAAAAAUCAUUGCAGACUGCAAGACUCUUAAGAAUAUGGGCGAGCUGCUGUCAGGAACUGAACCUGAAUCUGAGGACUACAAUGGAUGGGACAGCGAUAUGUCCUCAAUCCUUUUGCAGCUGCAUCUGCUCCCUCCAACCUCAAGAGGCCAGAAAAAAAAAUAUCCAAGAUCAGUUCAGCUCAAGCAACCAGCCAUCUUGUGAGCUAUCUUAAGGAAGGAGCCAGUGUGACUACCUUCAUUGAGAGUGCUGACACAAGACAACCAUUCCUCCUCUGUAUCAGUGAGCGAAAGAAGGAUAUCCCAAAGUUUUACAUUAUUAUAGACCCAAAACUGAUCCCAUGUAAGGCGCACACGUCAGUGGCAGCUUUUGAUGAACUGUUCAAAGUUCACUAUGUCUUCAGUUUCUCAUAUGAUGAAGCUCUUUGAGAUUUCUACACAUUUAUCCAAACCAACAUCUACAACAUCGAUGUCGGAAGAGCAAAGCAGAGCCCGCGUGUUAAAGAACUUCGAGCACGAUUGCUGCAGCGAAAUUAACAGCCUUGAAGAUGUUCACGUGUUUUGUAUGUAAAGCACACCUCAGAACUUGUUUGGCUCUUCGUCAACAUUUAAAAUUUCAACAUGGUUUAUAUCCUAGCAAAAAGUUACAUUUAAAAUGUGGAGAGCCAAGUCACCUGUUAUCAUUUCCAAAACCAUGCACUGUUCUCGCAGCAAAAGCACACUUUACAGAUUCUACUCUAUUACAACGAUUUUGAAAUUGCUAAUCCUCUAGGUUCCAAGAGGGGGAUCCACAAACUUGGUUGUAUCUAUUUUACUCUAAAAAAAAAAAAAAAAAAAAAAAAAAUCUUCCAUCAAAGUGUAACUCUGUACUGAUUAAUGUACAUCUUGCAGCUCUAUUCUACAUGGAAGAUCUUAAGACAUACGGUUUUGAUGUGAUACUAAAGCCCCUUAUUGAUGACCUGAAAAUCUUAGAAGCCAAAGGCAUACAGCUUCCUUGUAUUGAACCACCAUGGUUUGGCUCAGUAAUUCAAGUAACAGGAGAUAAUUUGGCUUUAAAUGGCUUACUGGGAUUUGUGUAAUAUUUCAGUGCAACUAAUUUCUGUAGGCUUUGUUUAAUUAGUAAGGAAGAAGUUCAAUCUAUAUUUUCUGAAGAUCAUUCUGGCUUAAUUUUCCGUUCCAAAGAGGUUCAUACUGAACAUUGUAAGGCACUAAAUGAAAAUCCUGAACUGCGGUCAAUAUAUGGUGUCAAAAAGUCAUGUGUGCUCAAUUCAUUACAGUAUUUCCAUUAUACUGAUAACUAUGCUGUUGACAUCAUGCAUGAUCUGCUAGAGGGUGUGGUACAGCAUGAAAUUAAACUGGUUUUUGAGUACCUUGUUAAACAGGAUGCAGAGCUUUAAUUAUGGUUACACAAACCGUAAAAACAAACCAAGUGGGUUAAAAAUGGAUGAUAUGGGCAAACACCUGGGUUUGAAUGCCAUACAGUCAUGGUGUCUUCUGCACAACACUCCACUGAUAUUUGGUGGUCAUUGAAAGGAAUAACAAUCACUGGAACUUUCUCCUACUUUUGAUGCAGAUUGUCAAUAUAGUGUUUUCCUACACCAUAACUGAUGGGAUGAUAUGUUACUUAAAACAUCUGAUCUGUGAUCACCAUACUCUAUUCAAAGAAUUGUUUCCUGACAAGACGUCGAUUCCCAAGCACCACUUGAUCUGAGAUGCAUAAAAAAAUUGGCCCUCUUAUCCAUAUGUGGUGAAUGCGAUUUGAAGCUAAGCACCAUAUUUUCAAAAGAUGUGGCAAAAAAUUUCAAGAAUCUCAUUAAAUCAUUAGUAAAGCAACAUCAACGUCAAUUGACAUUUAACUAUUAAAAUUAUUGUUUUAGAAGGUUUGAAUUUGGUCCUACAUCAAAAACCAUCUGUAACUUGCAAGGUGGGGAAGAACUCAGUCAGACAUUAUAUUUAGAAGCCUGUUUGAGUGUUACAAGUACAAAGUGGGUCAGACAUUAUGGUACUGAGUAUCAAGUUGGUAUGUUCAUAUGCACUGGAUGUACCUAUGAUCUCCCUGUGUUCAAAAAGAUCUGUGAGAUAAUAAUAUAUGAAGAGAGUGCUUUCAUUAUUUCCUGCAAUGUAAAAAUUAUGUACUAUGAUGACCACUUCAAUGCAUACUGUAUAGAAGAUAACCAAAUGGAUGAGUUUUCUGUCAUCUCUGUGAAUGAACUGACACACUUUAGGCUAUUUGACCAGCAGUGCUCUAAUGAGAAUAAUCAAAGAGAGUACAUAGUGCCCAAUUGUUAUAUUUAGAAAGACUUGACCUGAGGGGUCAGUAAUGUUAACGCCCUUGAAAAAAGAAAACUAUUAAAGCAACCAACUUGUUUUUUUUC